AUUGAACGCUGGCGGCGUGCCUAACACAUGCAAGUCGAGCGGUAACAGGUGUAGCAAUACAUGCUGACGAGCGGCGAACGGGUGAGUAAUGCUUCGGAAUCUACCCAAUGGUGGGGAAUAACCAGCCGAAAGGCUGGCUAAUACCGCAUACGUCCCACGGGAGAAAGCAGGGGAUCGCAAGACCUUGCGCCAAUGGAUGAGCCGAAGUCGGAUUAGCUAGNGGUAGGGUAACGGCCUACCAAGGCGACGGUCCGUAGCUGGUCUGAGAGGACGACCAGCCACACUGGGACUGAGACACGGCCCAGACUCCUACGGGAGGCAGCAGUGGGGAAUAUUGGACAAUGGGGGAAACCCUCGAUCCAGCGACGCCGCGUGUGUGAAGAAGGCCUGCGGGGUUGUAAAGCACUUUUAG
rnacentral:rRNA from 1 species